rnacentral:lncRNA from 1 species
AUCAAAGUAGGCGGAGCUUUAUCGUUCACCAAACAAACAUGCAGGGCGACUCUUCGCCGUGAGGCUGAUGGAGGAAACACUUAUCCUGAGAUGAUAGGCUAUCUAAAGGACAUCCAGCAGCUGGGAUGACACAUCUUGGAAAAUCCUUGCUUUAUCUCUCUCAACAGGACCCCAAAUGUUGAUCAUGAGGCCCAUUGCUGUCAUUGUACAUCCACACAAGGAAAGGAAACCAAAUCGUCCUGCUCAGCAAAGAUCAUUUCUUGUUUUUGACGGGGUUUUUUUACUGAUGAGGGAUGGAGAGGCAGCUGAGAAAUCUAUAUUGUUUUCCUUUUGAAUAUUUGUUUUUUAGUGAAUUGUGUAAGAUGAGACUUUACUGUAAGAUCAUGUUUAUAUCAUUUACACUAGUGAGUUAAAGCUAGUAAGUUUUUUUAUUUUUGUUUUUUAUAGCCCAGUCUGGAUUUAUCUGAUUAGAGAUAAUGUUAUGUUAGGUAUAUUAUUACAAUUGGAAAAAUAGCUGUGUAUUUACUCAUGAGAUGGAUAAGCUGAAUUCUCAGCAGCCAUGACUUCAGUCUUCGGUGUCACACAAUCCUGCAGAAAUCAUGUUAAAAACAAGUUGUUGCUUAACAUUUUGAAUGGAAACCAUGACGCAUUUUUGUCUGUGUUAAAGUUCAGCAUCUAUGAGAAACAGAAGUGCAUUUUAACAUAAAUGUUCUUACUGUCA